rnacentral:rRNA from 1 species
GUGGGGAAUAUUGGACAAUGGGCGAAAGCCUGAUCCAGCCAUGCCGCGUGUGUGAAGAAGGUCUUCGGAUUGUAAAGCACUUUAAGUUGGGAGGAAGGGUAGUAACCUAAUACGUUGCUAUUUUGACGUUACCGACAGAAUAAGCACCGGCUAACUUCGUGCCAGCAGCCGCGGUAAUACGAAGGGUGCAAGCGUUAAUCGGAAUUACUGGGCGUAAAGCGCGCGUAGGUGGUUCAGUAAGUUGGAAGUGAAAUCCCCGGGCUCAACCUGGGAACUGCUUUCAAAACUGCUGAGCUAGAGUACUGUAGAGGGUGGUGGAAUUUCCUGUGUAGCGGUGAAAUGCGUAGAUAUAGGAAGGAACACCAGUGGCGAAGGCGACCACCUGGACUGAUACUGACACUGAGGUGCGAAAGCGUGGGGAGCAAACAGGAUUAGAAACCCGGGUAGUCC